GUGCUCACUUCAGCAGCACAUAUACUAAAAAUGGAAUGAUACAGGGAAGAUUAGCAUGGUCCCUAUACAAGGAUGACACACUAAUUCAUGAAUCAUUCCAUAUUUAA
ensembl:snRNA U6 U6 spliceosomal RNA